rnacentral:rRNA from 1 species
UACGUAGGGGGCAAGCGUUGUCCGGAUUUAUUGGGCGUAAAGAGCGUGUAGGCGGCCUUACAGGUCAGCUGUGAAAACUCGAGGCUCAACCUCGAGACGUCGGUUGAAACCGUAAGGCUAGAGUCCGGAAGAGGAGAGUGGAAUUCCCGGUGUAGCGGUGAAAUGCGUAGAUAUUGGGAGGAACACCAGUGGCGAAGGCGGCUCACUGGACCGGUACUGACGCUGAUGCGCGAAAGCGUGGGGAGCAAACGGG